rnacentral:lncRNA from 10 species
UGCUGUAGUAUCCUAGGGGUCUACUCCAGUCCCUGGUUACCUCGAAUUUUCCAGUCCCUGGAUGUCUCACCAGUGAAGGUUGUGAAACAGCAAAAAUGGCAGCCUGCACCCUCCUCUGGGAGCUCCAUCCCAAGAAGAUGUUGGCACUUCUUAGGAAGGAGCCAUCCAUGUCUGAAGAGAAGAAAUGAUAAUUAACUUCAUCAUGUGGAAAGCUUUAGAAGGAAGUAUCUUGUCCUUCUGUCCAAACCCGCCUCCUCCUUACCACCCCCAAUAAAAAUAAAAGCCAAACAAAUAAAACAUUAGCAGUAGCUCUGAGUUUCUUCCUUUCACUUUUUCUCUCUCUUCAUGCCUUUUCUCCUCCAUUCCUUCCUUCUUUCAAAUCAUUUUUACUAGUUUAAGAGAAUAAUUCAAUCUAUAUUUAGAAAUCAGACUUAAAACUUCAAAAAUUAUACUGAAAUAGCUUCCCCUUAAAGGGUGAAACAGUCAUGAUAAAAAUAACAACCGAU